CCCGGAGCCCAGCCAUCUGCGUUGGCUGGGUUGCUAAGCAAUGGGCAGAUCACCUGCAGGGACAAGGACGGCGGUGGCGUCAAGGCGAAGCCAUUAGCAUAAGCGGCGGCUUGCUGACCUCUUGAGUGAGCGUGGAGAGGAAGAUGACCUUGUGGCCCGCCACGGGGAAGUCUAGACUCAUGCAAGCGCCGCCGUCAGCGUUGAGCCACAUAUACAGGCUUUGCACCACGAGAGGCUUCAACAACUCCACGCGCUUGUCGCUGGCCUCCAUUUUUCCGCUCGCUUCUCGACUUCCUCGGCUGGGACUUACCCACCUCCGCAAAUGACAAAACAAGCAUCACCUCUUUUCAGCUGCUUUGUCAUACAGAGC